GACGAACGCUGGCGGCGUGCUUAACACAUGCAAGUCGAACGGAAAGGCCCUGCUUUUGUGGGGUGCUCGAGGGGCGAACGGGUGAGUAACACGUGAGUAACCUGCCCUUGACUUUGGGAUAACUUCAGGAAACUGGGGCUAAUACCGGAUAGGAGCUCCGGCUGCAUGGUGGGGGUUGGAAAGUUUCGGCGGUUGGGGAUGGACUCGCGGCUUAUCAGCUUGUUGGUGGGGUAGUGGCUUACCAAGGCUUUGACGGGUAGCCGGCCUGAGAGGGUGACCGGCCACAUUGGGACUGAGAUACGGCCCAGACUCCUACGGGAGGCAGCAGUGGGGAAUAUUGCACAAUGGGCGGAAGCCUGAUGCAGCAACGCCGCGUGCGGGAUGACGGCCUUCGGGUUGUAAACCGCUUUCGCCUGUGACGAAGCGUGAGUGACGGUAAUGGGUAAAGAAGCACCGGCUAACUACGUG
rnacentral:rRNA from 1 species